GGACUACCGGGGUAUCUAAUCCUGUUCGCUCCCCACGCUUUCGCGCCUCAGUGUCAGUAAUGGGCCAGGAAGUCGCCUUCGCCACUGGUGUUCCUUCCGAUAUCUACGCAUUUCACCGCUACACCGGAAAUUCCACUUCCCUCUCCCAUACUCUAGCCAACCAGUUUCAAAUGCAAUUCCCAGGUUAAGCCCGGGGAUUUCACAUCUGACUUAAUUGACCACCUACGCGCCCUUUACGCCCAGUAAUUCCGAUUAACGCUCGCACCCUCUGUAUUACCGCGGCUGCUGGCAC
rnacentral:rRNA from 1 species